AGUAAAAGUCGUAACAAGGUCUCCGUUGGUGAACCAGCGGAGGGAUCAUUACAGAGUUGCAAAACUCCCACAAACCAUCGCGAAUCUUACCCGUACGGUUGCCUCGGCGCUGGCGGUCCGGAAAGGCCUUCGGGCCCUCCCGGAUCCUCGGGUCUCCCGCUCGCGGGAGGCUGCCCGCCGGAGUGCCGAAACUAAACUCUUGAUAUUUUAUGUCUCUCUGAGUAAACUUUUAAAUAAGUCAAAACUUUCAACAACGGAUCUCUUGGUUCUGGCAUCGAUGAAGAACGCAGCGAAAUGCGAUAAGUAAUGUGAAUUGCAGAAUUCAGUGAAUCAUCGAAUCUUUGAACGCACAUUGCGCUCGCCAGUAUUCUGGCGAGCAUGCCUGUUCGAGCGUCAUUUCAACCAUCAAGCUCUGCUUGCGUUGGGGAUCCGCGGCUGUCCGCGGUCCCUCAAAAUCAGUGGCGGGCUCGCUAGUCACACCGAGCGUAGUAACUCUACAUCGCUAUGGUCGUGCGGCGGGUUCUUGCCGUAAAACCCCCCAUUUCUAAGGUUGACCUCGGAUCAGGUAGGAAUACCCGCUGAACUUAAGCAUAUCAAUAAGCGGAGGAAAAGAAACCAACAGGGAUUGCCCAGUAACG
rnacentral:rRNA from 1 species